UGCGGAAUCUUGGGCAAUGGGCGAAAGCCUGACCCAGCCAUGCCGCGUGGAGGAUGAAGGCCUUCGGGUCGUAAACUCCUUUUCUGAGGGAAGAACAGUCGGCGGAGGAAAUGCCGUCGGCCUGACGGUACCUCAGGAAUAAGCAACGGCCAACUCCGUGCCAGCAGCCGCGGUAAUACGGAGGUUGCGAGCGUUGUUCGGAAUUACUGGGCGUAAAGGGAGCGCAGGCGGCCAGGUAAGUCUGAAGUGAAAUCCCGGGGCUCAACCCCGGACGUGCUUUGGAUACUGUCUGGCUUGAGUACGGGAGAGGAGAGCGGAAUUCCAGGUGUAGCGGUGAAAUGCGUAGAUAUCUGGAGGAACACCGAUGGCGAAAGCAGCUCUCUGGCCCGCUACUGACGCUGAGGCUCGAAAGCGUGGGGAGCGAACA
rnacentral:rRNA from 1 species